GGGCCCGUAGCUCAGCGGUAGAGCAUUCGGCUCAUAACCGAGCGUGCGCUGGUUCGAAUCCAGCCGGGCCCA
rnacentral:tRNA from 1 species